rnacentral:tRNA from 1 species
GCCUGGCUGGCUCAGUUGGUAGAGCAUGUGACUCUUGAUCUCAGGGUUGUGGGUUGGGGUUGUGGGUUCCGGCUUGUGGGUUUGAGCCUCAUGCUGGGUG